GCAGUACCACCUCACCCACUGGAAGGGGAACCCCAGGGUUACAGCAGCAGAAAACAUAAUUGGUGGCAAAAGCCUGUAGAUCAGGUUGCAGGUUUGAGUUAUUCAUCGGUCCUUUCCUUCCAUUCAGGGAAGGAGAGGACAGCGUUACUGCUUCUCACAGACACUCAUUAAAUCAGACACAGCAGAUCCUUUCACAUGAAGGUAACCUGAGAGCAAAGGCCAGCCCUUAACCUGGCACAAGUCAAGAGCUGUCUCCAGCUGACAAUAGCUGAAGUGUUGGUGGCAGCACACAAGCAGGUUUAUUUCUACUUGUUCUGCCAGAGGGCUGUUCAGGAUCUGCAACCAGUGAACCACUGAAGAGCUGUGCUGGUGCAGAGGGAGCCUGCAGUGAAAUUCAAUAUGAAAUAAUCAUAAACCAUCUAAUUGGUAUUAUUCAAGCUGAAAAGUAAUGCAAAUGGGAAAUGCACUAGAAUAGAACUGGAUGGUUUAAGUUCAUCAUCUGUUCAUCUCUUGAUAGAGAUCAAUAUAGAUUAGAGGUAAGUCUCUUUAUCCAUAUUAAUUUUCAAAACUCGAAAUGAUAUGCAACAGAUUUAUAAUU
rnacentral:lncRNA from 12 species